rnacentral:snRNA from 1 species
GUGCUCACUUCGGCAGCACAUACACUAAAAUUGGAAUGAUACAGAGAAAAUUAGCAUGGCCCCUGCUCAAAGAUGACACACAAAUUCGUGAAGCAUUCUGUAUUUUU